CUGGCAGGGAAAUCUUUAGCAGUUUGACAAUAUGAUUUUAUAUUUGUGUUUCUGUGACAGUUCUGAUUCUAGAGUUCUACUGAAUCACUGACAACCAUGGCAACAUGAUGGGAAAAGAGACAAAAGAACCAUGCUGUUGAAGCUGUGAAGAAGAGACUGCUGUUGCUUGAGUUGAUUAUAGCUGGACUCAGACAGCACAUUUACUCCUCUGAAUAGUGGCUAUUGACCUCAUACCAACACUACAGUGGAACCGCAGGACAUCCUCUUUUGACACCUAGUAAGUGACCCUUUGUCAUUUUGUGUGUCCAUUAUCUCAUGAACUUCUUUAUUUUUUGUGUUGGUUUACUUA
rnacentral:lncRNA from 1 species